rnacentral:rRNA from 1 species
UACGUAGGUGGCGAGCGUUGUCCGGAAUUACUGGGCGUAAAGCGCGCGUAGGUGGUUCAGCAAGUUGGAUGCGAAAGCCCUGGGCUCAACCUGGGAACUGCAUCCAAAACUACUGAGCUAGAGUACGGUAGAGGGUAGUGGAAUUUCCUGUGUAGCGGUGAAAUGCGUAGAUAUAGGAAGGAACACCAGUGGCGAAGGCGACUACCUGGACUGAUACUGACACUGAGGUGCGAAAGCGUGGGGAGCAAACAGGAUUAGAUACCCUAGUAGU